rnacentral:rRNA from 1 species
UGGGGAAUAUUGGACAAUGGGGGCAACCCUGAUCCAGCCAUGCCGCGUGCGUGAUGAAGGCCUUCGGGUUGUAAAGCUCUUUUGGCGGGGACGAUGAUGACGGUACCCGCAGAAUAAGCCCCGGCUAACUUCGUGCCAGCAGCCGCGGUAAGACGAAGGGGGCUAGCGUUGUUAGGAAUUACUGGGCGUAAAGCGAGGGGAGGCGGUUGUUAUAGUCAGGUGUGAAAGCCUUGAGCUCAACUCAAGAAAUGCACUUGAUACUGAACAGCUGGAGUACCGGAGAGGAUAGUGGAAUUCCCAGUGGAGUGGUGAAAUACGUAGAGACUGGGAAGAAAACCAAUGGCGAAGGCGGCUAUCUGGACGGUUACUGA